rnacentral:lncRNA from 1 species
UCCAUCGAUCGGGAGCAUUUAAGAAUUAACCACCAAUGACACAUGUCUCAAAUUCUCAACUCUUGAGAAUAUAUGUCAUCAUCUUAUUAAUUCCUUGGACGAUUCAUGGACACAUACACAACAUGAAUGGAAAUAAUAACCCAAAUUUAUUCAUAAUAUUUUAAAGUCAAAUACAAAUUUAUGUCCUAAAAAGAAUACAUGU